rnacentral:misc_RNA from 1 species
UUUGGGGUUCUCUCUAUAAUGAAGCGGUGGAAAUACUAAAAUUUUCUGAACCAAAUGGAUCACUUUACAAUGCUGCUAUACAAGGGAUGUGUUUAACAGGAAGGCUUGAUUUGGCUAAGAAGCUGUACACAGAAAUGCGUGAGAGAAGCCUUCAACCUGAUGGCAAGACACGGGCUAUGAUGUUGCAAAACUUACCAAAAGAUUCCAGGAGAAAUAGAAAACGUAAUUUGCAGAACUAAAAUUAUUUGGAAGAAAACAGUGUGCUUUACAUUGAG